AACGCGAAGAACCUUACCUGGGCUCGAAAUGUAGUGGAAUCGGGUGGAAACAUCCGCGUCUCGCAAGAGACUGCUAUAUAGGUGCUGCAUGGCUGUCGUCAGCUCGUGUCGUGAGAUGUUGGGUUAAGUCCCGCAACGAGCGCAACCCUUAUCCCUAGUUGCCAUCGGGUCAAGCCGGGCACUCUAGUGAAACCGCCCAGGAUAACUGGGAGGAAGGUGGGGAUGACGUCAAGUCCUCAUGGCCUUUAUGUCCAGGGCUACACACGUGCUACAAUGGUCGGUACAAACCGUCGCAAACCCGUGAGGGGGAGCUAAUCGGAAAAAGCCGGCCUCAGUUCGGAUUGGAGUCUGCAACCCGACUCCAUGAAGCUGGAAUCGCUAGUAAUCGCGGAUCAGAACGCCGCGGUGAAUACGUUCCCGGGCCUUGUA
rnacentral:rRNA from 1 species